AGUUUGAUCCUGGCUCAGGACGAACGCUGGCGGCGUGCCUAAUACAUGCAAGUCGAGCGCAGGAAACUGACGGAACUCUUCGGAGGGAAGGUAGUGGAAUGAGCGGCGGACGGGUGAGUAACACGUAAGGAACCUGCCUCAAGGAUUGGGAUAACUCCGAGAAAUCGGAGCUAAUACCGGAUAGUUCAUCGGACCGCAUGGUCCGUUGAUGAAAGGCGCUCCGGCGUCACCUUGAGAUGGCCUUGCGGUGCAUUAGCUAGUUGGUGGGGUAACGGCCCACCAAGGCGACGAUGCAUAGCCGACCUGAGAGGGUGAUCGGCCACACUGGGACUGAGACACGGCCCAGACUCCUACGGGAGGCAGCAGUAGGGAAUCUUCCACAAUGGACGAAAGUCUGAUGGAGCAACGCCGCGUGAGUGAUGAAGGUUUUCGGAUCGUAAAACUCUGUUGUAAGGGAAGAACGCGUACGAGAGGAAAUGCUCGUACCUUGACGGUACCUUACGAGAAAGCCACGGCUAACUACGUGCCAGCAGCCGCGGUAAUACGUAGGUGGCAAGCGUUGUCCGGAAUUAUUGGGCGUAAAGCGCGCGCAGGCGGCCUUUUAAGUCUGAUGUGAAAGCCCCCGGCUCAACCGGGGAGGGCCAUUGGAAACUGGAAGGCUUGAGUACAGAAGAGAAGAGUGGAAUUCCACGUGUAGCGGUGAAAUGCGUAGAGAUGUGGAGGAACACCAGUGGCGAAGGCGACUCUUUGGUCUGUAACUGACGCUGAG
rnacentral:rRNA from 1 species